rnacentral:rRNA from 1 species
CACUUAACACAUGCAAGUCGAACGAGAAAGUCAGCAAUGAUGAGUACAGUGGCGCACGGGUGCGUAACACGUAGGUGACCUGCCUUUUUGUUUGGGACAACCCGGAGAAAUUCGGGCUAAUACCGAAUACGCAGUUUUGAUUUGAAUAAAAAACUGGAAAGUAUGCCUCUACUUGUAAGCAUACAUAAAAAGAUGGGCCUGCGGGACAUUAGCUUGUUGGUGGGGUAAUGGCUUACCAAGGCUACGAUGUCUAGCCGGAUUAAGAGAUUGUCCGGCCACACUGGAACUGAGACACGGUCCAGACUCCUACGGGAGGCAGCAGUGGGGAAUCUUGCGCAAUGGAGGAAACUCUGACGCAGUGAUACCGCGUGAGUGAGGAGGGCCUUCGGGUUGUAAAGCUC